GACGAGUCCGCUUCCACAGAUAGACCCUAUUCCCCCGCUACCUGAAAAAGACUUCUAGAGAGAGAAGAAAGAGGAGAGAGAGAGCUCUCUGUUUGUGUGGUCAGUUGUCUAUUCUCUACGGUACGAAUCACAACAUUCUCUGGUGAACAAUCACGUCAACCACCCUUUGAUCUUUUCCUCUUGCUCUUGGUCAUCUGGGUUUUCGUUUUUUUUCAUAUUGGGUGAUUUGUUUUUGAAUUGAGUUUUGUCAUUGUUCACCGUAUCAACCUCCCAUUUAUC
rnacentral:lncRNA from 1 species